rnacentral:rRNA from 1 species
GCCCAGACUCCUACGGGAGGCAGCAGUGGGGAAUAUUGCACAAUGGGGGAAACCCUGAUGCAGCGACGCCGCGUGAAGGAAGAAGUAUUUCGGUAUGUAAACUUCUCUCAGCAGGGAAGAAAAUGACGGUACCUGACUAAGAAGCCCCGGCUAACUACGUGCCAGCAGCCGCGGUAAUACGUAGGGGGCGAGCGUUAUCCGGAUUCACUGGGUGUAAAGGGAGCGUAGACGGCCAUGCAAGCCAGGGGUGAAAGCCCGGGGCCCAACCCCGGGACUGCCCUUGGAACUGCAUGGCUGGAGUGCGGGAGGGGGAGGCGGAAUUCCUGGUGUAGCGGUGAAAUGCGUAGAUAUCAGGAGGAACACCGGCGGCGAAGGCGGCCUGCUGGACCGCGACUGACGUUGAGGCUCGAAAGCGUGGGGAGCGAACAGGAUUAGAUACCCGAGUAUA